ACUGGGCAAUAUCGCCAACGGGGUGUAACACAUACAUAUGUACAUACAUUUGAUCUCUCCUCUAAGGUGUUACUUAAGGCUCUAUUGUUAAAAGAACCAAAUAAACGUAUCUACCACCAACCAUAAGUACAGAUCAUUUUGUCAUAUCUCCUCCAAUAAUUAUUCAAUUUAUGAACCAAAGAUAUCCUCGUGUUCAGCUCACUUGGUAGCGUCCAUUCAAACAUGGAAUUCAUCAAAUUUCAGACACCCGCAAAUUCUCCAUUGCUGCAGACAUAGCUGAGGGCGAAUUAAAAACAACCGUAUUGUACACGUUGAAAAACAUUUUGACCACUGUGCCACUAUGGUAUGAAUACGGCCCAUAGGCUCCGAUGCAUAUAAUUAUGUUUGGCGUUAGUGGCUAGUGUAUAAUCGAGCUUGAUCCAUGAGCGUGAUUGGGGGUGUUUCAGACAAGGACGAGUGCGCGGUGAACAACGGGGGCUGUCAGCACGAGUGUCGGAACACGGUGGGCUCCUACUCGUGCUCCUGUCACAACGGGUUCACACUCCACGAGAACGGCACGAUUGCAAGGAGGGCGAGUGCAAGUACGAGAUCACCGCCCCGACCGGGAAAAUCACGAGCCCCAACUACCCGGACAACUACCCCAACAAGAAGGACUGCGUCUGGCACUUCACCACCACCCCGGGCAUCGCAUCAAACUGGUUUUUGAGGAGUUCGAAGUAGAAUCUCAGCCGGAUUGUUACUACGACCACAUCCAACUGUACGACGGGGAUUCAACAGAUUCGACAACCUUGGGCCGGUUUUGCGGCAACAAAGUUCCGCACCCAAUCGAUGCCUCUACCAAUCAGCUUUACAUGGUUUUCAAGUCCGACUCAACUGCACAUCGCAAGGGUUUUCUCGCCCAUCAUUCCACAGGUUUGUAGUUCCUAUUUUCUAUACGAUUUUAUUGGAGUGUAUGGAGCCGUUGAAGAAACGUUUUGUAUUAAUUAUCUUCCGUUCAAAUAAGUUGAAACAAAUUCUUUAAACUGUGUCAGGUCGAAGACGUUUUGUCAACGACAACAAUACUAAAAAAAAAAAAAAAAAGGGGGGAAACGGGAAAAAGGGAGAUUUACGCUGUUUCGCACUAUCUUGAUGGGUAAUGAAGGAGACAGGGACAAGUUUGACGACUAUUUCCAAGUUCAAAUGAUUUUUUCUCGACUUUGAAUUUUCGGCGGGAGAAAAUUCACGUCUAGUUGAAUUCAAAAUUCAUUUUUUUUUUAAAUGCGACAUUUUGCGUUUUCGUCGAACUCGAUCCAUUAAAAGGCACCUUUCUGAAUACUUCGCGGAAUUUUGGUACACAAUUUGAAAACCUCGCUUACACUGGUCAACAAUUUCUUUUUUUGUAUAGUUUUGCCAGAUGCUUAGUAAACGGAGCAGGGGAGAUGCCCUAGUAAAAGUGAGUCAGGCUGAUUCACUUAUACUAGGGAUACUUAUUUGGCGCUGAUUCCAAAAAUGACCUCCUUUUUCCUUAAAAUAACAAAAACCGAAAUUUCUCUGAAAAAGCUUAUUUUAAGGGAAAACGCCGACUUUUCCAGGGAAAAUCCAAAUUUAUACAGAAAAAUGGAGAUCAAUUUCGGAUUCAGCGCUAAAAAUUAGGUGAAAUACUGAAACUAAUUCUGGGCAAACUGCCCCCGUGUUGAUUUAUAAUAACCCUUCCAUCUUCAAGUUUUAAUACGGCCAUCCUGGCGUGUCAUUUCCCUAGUGUGUGGAGGACAUCUACCAGCAACGAAGGCUGUGAGACAUCUCUACUCCCACGCCAAAUUUGGCGAUCACAACUACGAAACUGGGCCGAGUGCGAUUGGGUCAUCGAAGCACCGGCAGGAAUGAAAAUCCAGUUCACGUUCCUCACUUUUGCCCUCGAAGACGAGAAAAGCUGCGCGUACGAUUAUGUGGAAAUCAUAAGCGGGAUGGAAGCAUCAGGCUCCUCUUACGGCAGGUUCUGCGGUGAUUCGGCGAGUAUUAUGUUGUCUUCUUCAAAUUCAUGAGGGGUUCCCGGUUCCCCUCCCAAGUAGCAUUUUUCAACGGAAAAAUCGGGAUACAUUGCAAUUUUAUCGGCGAUAAAAUCGCUAGGAUCAUCAACAUCUGAGUGAUUAUCUUUGAUCCUAUCGGGAUAAAAUCGCGAUUUUAUCGCAAGACAAUUUAUCGCGAUAUUUUCGAAACAAAAUCGCGAUAAAUGGCGAUUUAAUCUCGAUUUUAGUUUAUCAACGAAAAUUGAUCCCCUGCUAAAAAUGAUGAGAAGUCUGUGCAGAAUUCACCGACUCACAUGAGUGGAAUUUCCUACUUAUAUGAGUAGAAAUCCUACCUACUCAAAUCACUAGAAUAUUCUACCCAUAAUAGUAGAAAAGUUCAACUCAUAUGAAAUCAAUUUUUUUCAUUUUUCAGAGGUGGUGUUUUUGACCAGGAGACACCGACAUUAAGUAAAUCGACGGUGUAAGUCGGCAAUCACAUAACUCGUUUGCGGUGUCUGAAAAUCUCCGCCUCCAUGUUAUUUUUUUAAAGGAAAACAAAUUAACAUUCCGUGAAGUUUUGUAGAAUUUUCUUGGCACAGCGAAGAAAAAUCACGGCAGCUUUUAAGAAUUGCCGUUGAGUAGUUUUCCGUUUAAUAAAUAAAGUUAUGACAGGAAAUCUGCGACGUCGCAAACCAAGUUAUGUAAUUGCCGACUUAUUACACCGUCGAUAUACGUUUCACGCAGACCAGCGACCGCACUGUAUUUGGUGCAAUGCGUGAAGUAUUCAUUAAGUCUUGUAGGCGCUAACAUGCUUUGAGCGCCGACCGGUGACCGCACUGUGCUCGGCGCAAUGCGUGAAAGUAUUCAUGCAGUCUUGUAGGCGCUAAUAUGCCCUGCGCGCCGACCGGCGACCGCACCGUGCUUGGCGCAAUGCGUGAAGUAUUCCUGCAGUUCGUAGGCGCCAAUAGACCGUUAUUUUAUUGCAGAUUGAAAAAAGCGCGAUUUCAAGCAAAAUUUCAAGCA
rnacentral:lncRNA from 1 species